CUUUUGUAUAACAUCUCAGUGUAUAAAAGCAGACUCUGGAAAAUAAAGUAUUGGAAUCACUUCCUCGAAAUACUGGUCUCCCCAUGUUGCUCUCUCUCUCAAACUCUGGCUGAGUCUCCAUCUGGAGUGCAGAACCCACCAAGCUUACUAAUUAUGCCCGGGCUUCUAAGAUCCGACCGGGGAGGCCUCAGUGUCUCCUCUCCUUCGGGAGAAUGGAAGGACGCCUGCGGCCUACUCCAGGUUCUCUCCCCACUUCCAGUCAAGAAUUAUGCGGGGCAUCUUUUAAAAUUCAUGAUUUUAACUUUAUCACAAAAAAAGAUCAGUAAGUGUGCAGUUCAGCUCAGUUCACUCGCUCACUUGUGUCUGACUCUUUGCGACCCCAUGGACUGCAG
ensembl:lncRNA